rnacentral:rRNA from 1 species
GACGAACGCUGGCGGCGCGCCUAACACAUGCAAGUCGAACGAGCGAGAGAGAGCUUGCUUUCUCGAGCGAGUGGCGAACGGGUGAGUAACGCGUGAGGAACCUGCCUUUCAGAGGGGGACGAACAGUUGGAAACGACUGCUAAUACCGCAUAAGCGCACGGUAUCGCAUGAUACAGUGUGAAAACUACCGGUGGUAUAAGAUGGACCCGCGUCUGAUUAGCUAGUUGGUGAGGUAACGGCCCACCAAGGCGACGAUCAGUAGCCGGCCUGAGAGGGUGAACGGCCACAUUGGGACUGAGACACGGCCCAAACUCCUACGGGAGGCAGCAGUGGGGAAUAUUGCACAAUGGGGGAAACCCGUGAUGCAGCGACGCCGCGUGAGUGAUGAAGUAUUUCGGUAUGUAAAACUCUAUCAGCAGGGAAGAUAAUGACGGUACCUGACUAAGAAGCACCGGCUAAAUACGUG